CAGAGUUGCAAGACUCCCUAAACCAUUGUGAACCUACCUUCUACCGUUGCUUCGGCGGGCGGGCCCAGCGCCCCCCCCGGCCCCCCCGCGGGCGCCCGCCGGAGGAUACCCAAACUCUUGACAUUAGUGGCCUCUCUGAGUAUUCUUUACUGAAUAAGUCA
rnacentral:misc_RNA from 1 species